GUCGGAGUGGCGGAAUUGGUAGACGCGCUAGGUUGAGGGCCUAGUGGGCGAUGAGCCCGUGGAGGUUCGAGUCCUCUCUCCGACA
rnacentral:tRNA from 1 species